AGGGGAACGCAAUACUUCGGUAUUGUUAUUAUACUGGCGGACGGGUGAGUAACACGUAGGUUAUCUACCAUCGGGUUCGGGAUAGUCCGGGGAAACCCGGUUUAAUACCGGAUAAGGUCUAAGACUUUGGUCUAGAUGAAAGGUUAUUUGGUUGCCUGAUGAUGAGCCUGCGGCUAAUUAGUUAGUUGGUAGGGUAAUGGCCUACCAAGGCGAUGAUUAGUAGCUGGUCUGAGAGGAAUUUCAGCCACACUGGAACUGAGACACGGUCCAGACCCCUACGGGAGGCUGCAGUGAGGAAUCUUGCGCAAUGGGUGAGAGCCUGACGCAGCGACGCCGCGUGACUGAGGAAGCCCUAAGGGGUGUAAAGGUCUGUCGUUGGGGAAGAACCUGUUUGAUGUGGGAGCAUUAAGCACUGCCGGUACCCAACAAGCAAGCUCCGGCUAACUCCGUGCCAGCAGCCGCGGUAACACGGAGGGAGCAAGCGUUGUCCGGAAUUACUGGGUGUAAAGGGCACGCAGGCUUCUAUACAAGCCUUUGGUGAAAAGCCACUGCUUAACGGUGGAGUUGCCAGAGGAACUGUAUAGAUUGAGUAUAGAAUGGGAAUGCGGAACUCCUGGUGGAGAGGUGAAAUUCGUAGAUAUCAGGAGGAACACCAGUGGCGAAGGCGGCAUUCUGGUCUAUAACUGACGCUGAGGUGCGAAAGCGUGGGUAGCGAACGGGAUUAGAGACCCCGGUAGUCCACGCCGUAACUAUGGAUACUUGAUGUUUAGGGUUAGACCUAAGUAUCGAAGUUAACGCGAUAAGUAUCCCACCUGGGGAGUAAGUCGCAAGACCCAACUCAAAGGAUUGACGGGGGCCCGCACAGCGGUGGACAUGUGGUUUAUUCGAUGCACGCGAGACCUACUGACUGACUGUAGUGCGUGGUCGUGAAGCGACCGCUCUACUGCAUGGCCAGACACUAUCCAGUAUG
rnacentral:rRNA from 1 species